UUUUUUUUGUAAUGGUUCUUGUUUUUGUAAUGUUUAUUGUAGCUUUUAUAACUGUUUCUGUUUUUAAACUUUUUUGUUUUAAUUUUAUUUAUUUUUUUUUUUUUUGCACAUGCGUGGUUUGGAACACGUAUCCCUGCCAUAUAGCCACACUCGUUCUACAAGAAACUUAAACUUUCGAAUGAAGCAGUCGAUGCCAUACGACCCAUGUAGAUAGUGAAGAGAACGACUAGAAGGACACGACCACAGCCGGAAUGGGUGGCGCCCACCAUGAAAAUGGCCGGACCAAGGGAUGCGACGAUGGCACGCUGUAGCAAAGGGGAGCCUGCAAGAAAGAUUUACCGCACACGUUUGCCGGGACUCAGGCGGCCAUGAGGACAGGAACCACGAUGAGCGAGUUGGAGCUUCCCAGGAAGAUCGCCAGGUGAGACAGCAUGUCGGUGAAGAGGAUGCCAAGAGGAGGAUCCAAAGACCGCCAAUUCUCGGCCAGAAUAACGCAAGGACCGGUGCAGAAGGAAGACAGAAUCUGGCCCUGCAGGCUUUUAUUUUGUCCUGUUUGCAGGAAAAGGUCAGAGAGGAGGUAAAUAGGCUCACGACAAACAAAAGCGCAGCAUCCCACAAACCUUCGCCUCAAUCGCAUUUGUUUCUGCCGCCACUUCUCUUGUUGAAAUGUCAGACGAGCAUAAAGAACAAUGGAUCUGCUGCCAGGUCAUACUAUAUAGGAACUAUAUGCAGUCAUCAUCAUGAUCGUCGUCGUUGACGUUUUUGUUAAUCGUCAACGGAGGACGGCGACGACUCUUUGGACAGUCCAAACGUAUCAAUCAGCUCCGAGGACUCAUUGGAUAUAGAGGACUUCGAUGACGACUCUAUUGAUACUGUAAUUUGUAAGACACCAGUGCCUAGCGUACCCGACUCGCCAAGUCCUAAGACGGCAAAAAAUGUUCUCUAUAAGCAUUCCCCAUUACUUUACAUAUCCAACAACAUUAAAAAGUGUUUCGCCAAUGAUGUUAAGAAGCAACGUGUCCCAGAGGUCCACCCAAGCUUCAAAGUUUCGCCAUUGCAAAAAUUUUCUGCGUCUCUGCGAGUCUAUUUUGAUAAGAAGGACAUGAAAGCUCCAGCUUCUAAGAAAAGAAGCCAUCCUUAAGAAGCCAAAAUAAGCGUGAUCAUAGACGGAUAUUUCAUAAAUCUUCCUAACAGCAAGAACAAUAAUAAUAAUAAUAUGUAAAAUUGAAUUAUCUUUGCUUAAUGAUCUAUGUAAUAUUAAAAAAUUCUUUUUCUACUUAUUA